rnacentral:rRNA from 1 species
GAUGAACGCUGGCGGCGUGCCUAAUACAUGCAAGUCGAGCGAAUGGAUUAAGAGCUUGCUCUUAUGAAGUUAGCGGCGGACGGGUGAGUAACACGUGGGUAACCUGCCCAUAAGACUGGGAUAACUCCGGGAAACCGGGGCUAAUACCGGAUAACAUUUUGAACCGCAUGGUUCGAAAUUGAAAGGCGGCUUCGGCUGUCACUUAUGGAUGGACCCGCGUCGCAUUAGCUAGUUGGUGAGGUAACGGCUCACCAAGGCAACGAUGCGUAGCCGACCUGAGAGGGGGAUCGGCCACAAUGGGACUGAGACACGGCCCAGACUCUUACGGGAGGCAGCAGUAGGGAAUCUUCCGCAAUGGACGAAAGUCUGACGGAGCAACGCCGCGUGAGUGAUGAAGGCUUUCGGGUCGUAAAACUCUGUUGUUAGGGAAGAACGAGUGCUAGUUGAAUAAGCUGGCACCUUGACGGUACCUAACCAGAAAGCCACGGCUAACUACGUGCCAGCCGCCGCCGUAA